AGUAUCUCAUUUUUAGAUCUCAUGUUCCUCAAGGUAAUGGACAGGAAUAUGUUUUUGGUAGUAUGGCAGAAUUGGCAGUCCUUAGUCCAAAUUUUGGAUAAUGUUAAACACAUGUUGUGCCGAAUUGGCAGCCCUUCAUCCGAAUUUUCUUGAUAAUGAUACACCAUUUGGCAAUAGAUUCUCUACAAAACUUAAAAUCGACUAUAAUGAUACACCAUACUGAUGCUCUAAAUCAUCCUCACGAAAAAACAUCUUAAGUUAUUGCUAAAACCUAAUUUUAUCAUCAAAGCGUAACAUGGUUUUCAUUGGAACUUUCUGUUACCAAAUUUAAAUGUGUGUGUACAUUGCAUUGUACAGAACAAGCAAGCAUUCUUUUUAUUAUCAUUAUAAAGAGUGUUAAAUUUGUUACCAUAUGUGCUUGCCCAUAAUUAAACUAACUAAACCAUGGGUUUUCUUUUCAGUCCGGACAUGGAUUUAGCGGGUCUCUGCGUCAUUGGGCGCAACGGGUUCACUACUUUGCUAAAUAUUCCACUUUAACUUUAGUGAUUGGUUAGUUAUUCUACUUCUUUUGGCUAAAUGUUCAGGAACAAUCGCACAUCUGAAAUAACUAAUCGACAUUGAUUUUUGCUAAAUAUUCCACUUCUUUUGUCAGUUUGUAGUUGAUUUCUAGCUAUGAUUUACAUAUUCUACUUCUUUGUCCAACCCAUAGCGUGACUGGAGAGCGACGUAAGCGAUGUCGACCGUGGCCUAUGCCCAGGUGAUCUCUCCCGUUGUUCUUCUCUUUGAUCCUGCCCUCUACGUCUCCUGUUGGCGGCCCAUAUAUGGCGUUUACAAGGAUGUCGCCUUUGGCAUGGCGUCCUUGCUGCCACAGUAAAAUUUGUUCAAGUGAGAAAGCUUUGAAUAGUAGAGCCCUCCUUUAUUUUUUCCAUGGGCAGAGUGGGUGGAGGUACAGAGCCUCAAGAUGUCACAAAGAAUCUUAUCUUUAUUUCAUAGUGAACUUAGAAGGGUUUUCUAUCUUAAUAUGAUAAUGCAGGCUUCCUUACCUUGACCAGAAUUUAGCGUUUUGUUGCUCCUUACCAUGCAAUGUGGCUUCAGCACCAUUUUUAAAAUAUAAGCCAUCAUUUGUGCCGGUCCUUAUCAAAGGGGAUUUUGAUGUUCUCGCUGAAACAGAGGACUUGAAUUGAUGAAUUCUAGGAUUAGUAAACAUUAGCACAAUCCUGAUUAUCCAGUUGAGAAAUCUUAUAUUUUAAUUGUGAUAGGUAAUGUAGACUACAAGAGUUGUCUUCUAAGUUUUGCAAAUUCUUCUGUUAGUAGCUAAUGCUGUUUAGAAAUUUUGAUUUCCCUUUUUGUUGUAGCUCUUCAUUUUCGUCACUAGUUUACAUUUAUUUUGUAUCUUUCUCAUUCUGUUCAUAACAUUUUUUCAUGUUUCUUCCUUUUUAUAGAGGUAUUUUGAUGUUGUGUCGAGAAUUUUGGCUAAUUGACGGCUCAAAUGAUUACAAGCAUAUGAUCUUGUCAGCUUGAGUGAUUCCGGGCAUAUCAACUAUAGGCAAACGUGACAUAGAAGAUUCUUGCUUUCCUUUUUUUGUUUUGGUUAAAUUGCAGUCAAGCUACUUACAUACGACUCUUAUCAGGGCAUCUCAGAAUUCUCAAACGGAGCUGCUUCUGUUUUAGCCUGAUUUACGUUUCUACUGUAGGUGUAGCUCUAUGACGGUACAAACUUUUUGCAAUGUUGAAGAGAAGAACAACGUGUUACCUGUUUAUGCUUUUAAUAUGGCUUGAUAGACAGGCCCUGUUGUGGGACAGGAACCUAAUAUUGUUGUUUUUAAUGUUGGAACAAAUGAUCAUUUGAUCUAUGUGCAAUUGCAUUGGCUAUUUCUCAACCGGUGGAGAUCGAAUUUAUAAUUAUAUUGACAUGCCCCCUAUGCUUCCUGUUAUUGG
rnacentral:lncRNA from 1 species